UACGUAGGGGGCAAGCGUUGUCCGGAAUCAUUGGGCGUAAAGGGCGUGUAGGCGGUCAAGUAAGUGGAAUGUGAAACGCCUCGGCUUACCCGAGGACCUGCAUCCCAAACUGCUUGGCUUGAGUCCGGAAGAGGUGAGUGGAACUCCGAGUGUAGAGGUGAAAUUCGUAGAUAUUCGCAAGAACACCAGUGGCGAAGGCGGGUCUCUGGGCCGUAACUGACGCUGAGGAGCGAAAGCAUGGGGAGCGAACAGG
rnacentral:rRNA from 1 species